rfam:Oryza glumipatula chromosome 6, whole genome shotgun sequence.
AAAAAGACAAAAUCUGGGUUUCUGUGUCCAACGUUUGACUGUCCGUCUUAUAUGAAAUUUUUUAAUAAUUAGUAUUUUUAUUGUUGUUAGAUGAUAAAACAUGAUUAAUACUUUAUGUGUGACUUGUCUUUUUAAUUUUUUCAUAAUUUUUUUAAAUAAGACGGACGGUCAAAUGUUGGACACAGAAACCUAGGGUUUGUCUUUUU